rnacentral:rRNA from 1 species
UACGGGGGGGGGCAAGCGUUGUUCGGAAUUACUGGGCGUAAAGGGCUCGUAGGUGGCCAACUAAGUCAGACGUGAAAUCCCUCGGCUUAACCGGGGAACUGCGUCUGAUACUGGAUGGCUUGAGUUUGGGAGAGGGACGCGGAAUUCCAGGUGUAGCGGUGAAAUGCGUAGAUAUCUGGAGGAAUACCGGUGGCGAAGGCGGCAUCCUGGACCGACAUUGACGCUGAACGGCGAAAGCUAGGGGAGCGAAACAGG